UGGGCUGUAGCUCAGUGGCAGAGCGCUUGCCUAUCACGCAGGAGGCACUGGGUUCAUCCUCAGCACCACAU
rnacentral:tRNA from 1 species